AGAAGUGCAUUCAUGUUUCGCUAGUCCUGCCUGCUUCCGGGUAGGGGAAGGGCGGGCGUGUUUCUCGUGGAUCCCGUGUCCCUGUGUGGCUGAGCAGCUCACAACAGGGUUGUGGCUAGUUUAAGGUUAUUUAUCCAGGAAGGGAAAAGGCUUUCUGACGUUCUCCAAAGGCGCAGCCUAAUCUCUAGUGUGCACCCCCUCCCCCAGGUGCUUUUGUUUUGUUUGCCUUUUUCAUUUCCCCCGGAUUACAUUAAAAACCAGCUUUAAUAGUCACUUUCUGAGAAUUUUGAGUUCCAGAUGAAUCCCUUCUUCUGACUGACCCCCCAACCUCAGUCCUACCCCCCCCCCCCAAAGGAUCCCAUGUAGAUGUUACCAUGUAAACCAUUUUCCGUAUUAGUCAUUAGUGGAAGAGAGGAGGAGGAAGAUGCAGAGGUGGAGAAGAACAAGAACAACAGGAAGAGCAAGUUGAAGAACAAAAUAACAAGCCUCAACACAAUGAAAUGGAAACACUGGUGGAAGAAAUUGGAGAAAAAUUACCUGAAGAUAAAAUGACUGAAAAAGUUAAUAAGUGGGCAUUUAAUGUAAAGAAUCUUCAGUGCAAUAACAGUGAAGAGAAUAAAAUCCCUGGGGAAGAAAUUCCCAAAAUGACCAUAGUACCUGUGCACCAUUGUUCAAAGUGGUUUCCACUGAAAAAAAGGGAAGAAAAGCAACUGAAGGCAAACAUGCUACUUAAAAAUGAUCAAAGAACAAUUAAGAAGAAAAGAAAAAUUAUCUAGUAAAGAUGCGGAGAUGAAACAGUCAUUUGAACUGGUUGAGAGUGACAAGGCUGAAGAGCAAAAGAACAAGCCUCAACACAAUGAAGUGGAAACACUGGUGGAAGAUAUUGGAGAAAAAUUACCUGAAGUAAAAUGACUGUCAAAGUUAAUAAGCUGCCAUUUCAUGUAAAGAAUGAUCCUGGCAAUGAAAGCGAGGAGGACAAAAUCCCUGCGGAAGAAUCUCCACAAAUGACCGUUUCUUCUUCCAAGGAAUCUUCAGCACUCGGGCACCAUCGAUCAGUGGGGUCAGUUUCUGAAAAUCACUCAGUGGAGUAUUUCACUAUCACGGUCUCUUUGCCCUGAAAAUCUGGGUUCCGAUUCGUUGUACAUGAACUGCAGUCUUGGCUGGUAUUUGUUUGGUUUUUGCCAAGAAAGAAACCAAAACCCAUGUAUGCAGCUUCUGUAGACACAGACACAAACACACACAUAUGAACGGAUAAAUGACUUUCAGGUUCUUUUAUUCUGGAAAUUGUAGAGCAGCAGCUACCAAUCACUCACUGGAAAGAGUUUCUUGACAGUGAAAGUCGACAUGAAUCUGUUUCCCCUCAUAAAAGUCAACUUUGUUUCUUCAGAAGUCCAGACACAUUUAGCUACAUAGGAUGACAAUCUUGAUUUCUACCCAAUUGUUUUUCCUAAAACAAGCAGUUUUCCUCUAGGUUUCCACUGAAAAAAGAGGAAUAAAGGCAAUUGAAGGGAAACAAUCAGAGAACAAAUAAGGAGAAGAGAAAAAUCAUAUAAUAAAGCUGUGGAGAUAAAACAGCCUUUGGAACCUGCUGUACAAGCUUGGGCCAUGGAACCAAGACCAGGAGGAAACCAUUUGACGCAGGUAAAGUGGAAAUUUAGAGUCAGUAUUUCCAUCUUUGCUCGAUAUGGACUAUGAAUCGGUGUCCUGGGCGAGAGCAGGUCAGUGGCUGGAAAGUUGUAUUCGUGCUGCGAAAGGUCAGUGGCUGUCAGGUGGAGUAUCAUUCGGUUGGGUUCGAUGCUACACGAAUGUAGGUUCAUGUGUAGAUCUAGAAAAAUAAAGGCGUCUCUAUUUUUAACAUUCGAGUGCGCUGUUGCAAGGGCUAUAACCAUGGAGAAGAUAAGGUGACACACACUUGCAGUCACAAUUAGAGAAGAAAAAGAAUUGGAAGGUAUUAAAAUAGAGACCAAGUUAUCCCUCCUUGCAGAUGAUCUGAUGGUCCACUUAAGGAAUCCUAGAGAAUCAACUAAGAAACUAGUGGGAAAAAACCAGGGAUGUUAACAAAGUGGCAGGAGAGAAAAUAAACCCACAUUAAUCAUCAGCAUUCCUGUAUGUUCCCAACACAUGUCAGCAGCAACAGGUAGAAAGAGCAAUUUCCUUUAAAAUCGUCCUGGACAAUCCAAAAUAUUUAGAAAUGUAUCUGCCAAGACAAACAAGGGAAUUAUAUGAACACAACUCCGAAACACUUUCCACAUAUAGAUAUAAACGAUUGAGAAAACAUUAAUUGUUCAUCGAUGGGAUGAGUUAAAAUAAUAAAAAUGACAAUCCUACACAAAUUAACUUCCUUAGUCAGUGCCAUACUUAUCACACUACCAAGAAACUUUUUUACUGCAUUAGAAAAAAACUAUAACAAAGUUCACGUGGAUGAACAGAAGAUCAAGAAUACCAAGAGAAAUGAUGAAAAAAUGUGAAGGAUGAGUGGCUAGAAUUACCAGAUCUUAAACUGUACCAUAAAGCAGUGGUCUUCAAAACAAUUUGGUACCAAGGGACAGAGGAGAAGAUCAGUGGAAUAGACUUAGAAAAACUUACCUCAGCAAACCAGUGAAUGAGGACCCCCUAAAACCCAGGUUUCAGGAUAAUUUCUGAAUAAAAAUAGACUCUUUGACAAAAAAACUACCAGGAAAAUUGGAAAACAGUAUCAGAGAGAUGAGCAUUUCACACUACACCAAGAUAAACUCAAAAUGAGUGAAUAAUUGAAUGUAAAAAGGAAACUAUAAGUAAAUUAGGUGAACACACAAUAGUAUACCUGUCAGAUCUUCAGGAAAGGUAAAAUUUCAAGACCAAGCAAGAGUUAGACAAAAUUGCAAAAUGUAAGAUAAAUCAAUUUGAUUACAUUAAAUUUAAAAGGGUGUUUUUUGUACAAUCGGAACCAAAGCAACCAAAAUUAGAAGGGAAGCAAAAAUUGGGAAAAAACCUUUAAAACAAAAUCCUUUAACAAGGGUCUAAUUACUCAAAUAUCUAAGGAGUUAAGUCAGUUGUACAAAAAAUCAAACCAUUUUCUAAUUGAAAAAUGAGCAAGUGACAUGAAUGGCAAUUUUCAGAUGAAGAAAUCAGAACUAUCUAUAGGCACAUGACAAAGUGUUCUAAAUCAUUUGUAAUUGGAGAAAUGAAGUGCAAAUCAACCCCCCCCCCCCGAGGUAUCAGCUCUCCUAGCAUAUUGGCUAACAUGAGAGCAAAGGAAAGUCAUAAAUGUUGCAGGGGAUGUGUAAAAUGGGGACAUGAAUGUACUGCUGGCGGAGUUGGGAAUGGAUCCAACCAUUCUGGAGGGCAGUUUGGAACUAUGCCCAAAGGGUGCUAAAAGCCUGCUGGCCCUUUGAUCCAGCCAUAGCCCUGCUGGGCUCGUACCCCAGAGAUUAUUAUUAUUAAUAAUAUGAAUGUGUCUUGGUCCACCCAGGAGCAUGUGAUGUUCUUUCCACUUGUGAGGCUUUAGUUAUACUUGUGUGAAAAGGGCUUUGUAGAUGAGUUCAUAUGAUUCCUGUGUUCAUCCUGAAGAUAUUCCCAAUUGCCUCGAGUGAUUUGAAAUGAAGCUUCUCCUGCUGCUGAGCUGUGUCGACAAGACGUGGAAAUGCUGACGAUUUACGUGCCUUUACUUUUCAUCCUGCAGCUUUGCUAAAGCUGUUGGUUAUUUCCAGGAGCUUUUGAGAUCUUUCUUUGAUUCUUCAGGUAGAGCAUCUCACCGACUGCAGAGAGGGAGACUUUGGUCUCCUCGGUGCCUCCUUGAAUCCCUUCCAUUUCUUGGUCUCUAAAUUGCUGCUGUGCGUGUUUCUAGUACGAUGUUAGUGAAUAGAGGGGAGAGCGGGCAUCCUCGCUUCACUGCCGAUCUCAGUGGGAAGGUCUCUCACUUCUCCCCACUGCAGACGAUCAUCACGGAUGGUUUUAGGUAUAUAUUCUCUAUGGUUGUUAGGAAGGGCUCCCAUAUUCCUACCCUUCCUAGGGCUGUCAGGAGGAUUCUAAGGGGAAAAGUGACGAUAUGAAAAAAGGACGAGAAAACACAAUGAGGAAGAAGCCGAGCCACUGUUUCAAAUGUUGAAGCAAGUUGUUCUCCUUUCAAACAAAACUUCUAAAAAUUCGUUGUUAUUCUUUCCAGAGCUGAAAAAAUUAGAAUAAAGAAUACUAUAGAUACGUGUGUACAUUCCAGAAGCUAAGAGCUCUCCAGGCAUUAUUGAUAGUGAGCAGGGAACACCUGUUUUCAGGUCCUGCUUCUGGUAUAAUUGACAAACCAUUUAGCCUUUCAGGGUUCUAGGCAACUCUACAACCAGAAGUAGCUAGAAAGAUGCUGACCAGCGGGUAAAUCCAAAUGAUUCAGGGAGAUUUCCUUGGGAAACAAUAAGGUUCAGCUGCCAAAGAUGAUCAUCUUGAAUGCUUCUAACCAUGCAGGGGUAUUUCUUUUGCUUUGUUUCACCACUGUAGUUGUGAAAGGUUUCCUGUAGAUACAGGCAGGUCACUUGUUAAUCACGUAACUCCAAUUAAUUCAGGGAACAUUCCUUGGAUACAGUCAGAUCCGCCGUGGACAGCCAAUGAUAUUCAACACUUUCACCAUGCAGGAAUGUUCCUGUUGCUUUGUUUCAGCAAUAUUGUUGUGAAAUUUUUUUCCUUUGUUUCAACA